rnacentral:rRNA from 1 species
UCCUACGGGAGGCAGCAGUGAGGAAUAUUGGUCAAUGGGCGGGAGCCUGAACCAGCCAAGUCGCGUGAGGGAAGACGGUCCUAUGGAUUGUAAACCUCUUUAGGCGGGGAGCAAUGCCGGGCACGCGUGCCCGGAGGGAGAGUACCCGCAGAAUAAGCAUCGGCUAACUCCGUGCCAGCAGCCGCGGUAAUACGGAGGAUGCGAGCGUUAUCCGGAUUUAUUGGGUGUAAAGGGCGUGUAGGCGGGAACGCAAGUC